UCGAGCGGUAGCACAGAGAGCUUGCUCUCGGGUGACGAGCGGCGGACGGGUGAGUAAUGUCUGGGAAACUGCCUGAUGGAGGGGGAUAACUACUGGAAACGGUAGCUAAUACCGCAUAACGUCGCAAGACCAAAGUGGGGGACCUUCGGGCCUCAUGCCAUCAGAUGUGCCCAGAUGGGAUUAGCUGGUAGGUGGGGUAACGGCUCACCUAGGCGACGAUCCCUAGCUGGUCUGAGAGGAUGACCAGCCACACUGGAACUGAGACACGGUCCAGACUCCUACGGGAGGCAGCAGUGGGGAAUAUUGCACAAUGGGCGCAAGCCUGAUGCAGCCAUGCCGCGUGUGUGAAGAAGGCCUUCGGGUUGUAAAGCACUUUCAGCGGGGAGGAAGGCGAUGAGGUUAAUAACCUUGUCGAUUGACGUUACCCGCAGAAGAAGCACCGGCUAACUCCGUGCCAGCAGCCGCGGUAAUACGGAGGGUGCAAGCGUUAAUCGGAAUUACUGGGCGUAAAGCGCACGCAGGCGGUCUGUCAAGUCGGAUGUGAAAUCCCCGGGCUCAACCUGGGAACUGCAUUCGAAACUGGCAGGCUAGAGUCUUGUAGAGGGGGGUAGAAUUCCAGGUGUAGCGGUGAAAUGCGUAGAGAUCUGGAGGAAUACCGGUGGCGAAGGCGGCCCCCUGGACAAAGACUGACGCUCAGGUGCGAAAGCGUGGGGAGCAAACAGGAUUAGAUACCCUGGUAGUCCACGCUGUAAACGAUGUCGAUUUGGAGGUUGUGCCCUUGAGGCGUGGCUUCCGGAGCUAACGCGUUAAAUCGACCGCCUGGGGAGUACGGCCGCAAGGUUAAAACUCAAAUGAAUUGACGGGGGCCCGCACAAGCGGUGGAGCAUGUGGUUUAAUUCGAUGCAACGCGAAGAACCUUACCUGGUCUUGACAUCCACAGAACUUUCCAGAGAUGGAUUGGUGCCUUCGGGAACUGUGAGACAGGUGCUGCAUGGCUGUCGUCAGCUCGUGUUGUGAAAUGUUGGGUUAAGUCC
rnacentral:rRNA from 1 species